GAAAAGAUGCCUCUUUCUGAUGUGCUGAAGUGGCAACUUCCCUUUACUGCCAGGACCCACCAAACUAAUUCUCAGGGCUCAAGAGCCACAAUUUCUCCAGGCCACUGCAUGACAUCUCUGCUCCUGCAGUUGAAGACUGUUUGAUGUCCCCUGCUCUAUGGCCAGCACACGCUAGGCUCUCAGGAGAGCCUGUGGAUGAUAGCAGAGAGCAAGACAGAGGAAAAGGAGGCCAAGGAAGGGAAGAAGAAGUAGAGAACGGAGGACUACAGUGAGCCAGGUGGAAUUACUGAGUACAAGAUGCCUGAAAGGAGUAAGUUUUGAGCACGUAUGUAAAGUGAGAAUAAGCCUUGCAGAGAGGAAAAAGAAGGCAUGCCAAACCUGUAUUUUUACAAGAAACUUUAUUAUAUCCAUUAAAACAUGGGUUUGA